rnacentral:rRNA from 1 species
AUUGAACGCUGGCGGCAUGCCUUACACAUGCAAGUCGAACGGCAGCGCGGGCUUCGGCCUGGCGGCGAGUGGCGAACGGGUGAGUAACAUAUCGGAACGUGCCCUGGAGUGGGGGAUAACUAGUCGAAAGAUUAGCUAAUACCGCAUACGAUCUACGGAGGAAAGUGGGGGACCGCAAGGCCUCAUGCUCGUGGAGCGGCCGAUAUCUGAUUAGCUAGNGGUGGGGUAAAGCCUACCAAGGCCACGAUCAGUAGCUGGUCUGAGAGGACGACCAGCCACACUGGGACUGAGACACGGCCCAGACUCCUACGGGAGGCAGCAGUGGGGAAUUUUGGACAAUGGGGCAACCUGAUCCAGCCAUGCCGCGUGCGGGAAGAAGG